AUUGAACGCUGGCGGCAGGCCUAACACAUGCAAGUCGGACGGUAGCGCAGAGGAGCUUGCUCCUCGGGUGACGAGUGGCGGACGGGUGAGUAAUGUCUGGGGAUCUGCCCGAUAGAGGGGGAUAACCACUGGAAACGGUGGCUAAUACCGCAUAACGUCGCAAGACCAAAGAGGGGGACCUUCGGGCCUCUCACUAUCGGAUGAACCCAGAUGGGAUUAGCUAGUAGGCGGGGUAACGGCCCACCUAGGCGACGAUCCCUAGCUGGUCUGAGAGGAUGACCAGCCACACUGGAACUGAGACACGGUCCAGACUCCUACGGGAGGCAGCAGUGGGGAAUAUUGCACAAUGGGCGCAAGCCUGAUGCAGCCAUGCCGCGUGUAUGAAGAAGGCCUUCGGGUUGUAAAGUACUUUCAGCGGGGAGGAAGGCGAUGUGGUUAAUAACCGCGCCGAUUGACGUUACCCGCAGAAGAAGCACCGGCUAACUCCGUGCCAGCCGCCGCCGUAA
rnacentral:rRNA from 1 species